AUCGCAAAAACCGUCCUAAUACACGUCUCGCCGUACUCUUUUUCAUCCUCCGUAGAUGACACACCCGGCUACGUCUUCCGCACAGACGAGCAGGAGGUUCUUCUCCGACGCUUGUACCUCACGUGGCCCUCGUCUAUGAGCAGGGAUUCUCUGAUGCUUGGACCUCACACAUGCGUCACUGCCAAAGGAAAUUAGAACGCCGUCGAGGCGUUGAGGAGAGCAGCGGCGCCGCGCCGACUGUGGGCGAUCUCCUAUCUUCCUGCCGGUUCACUGUCGGAGGUAUUCGCUUCCAUGAGCGAGAGGCCGAAGAAGAGGAUCACACAAGGAUGAGGAGCCUGAGACCAACAAACUGGCCGAUUCCCAAAUCAAUGAGCCUGGGAUAUACAUGAUCACGGUCUUAUGCAUUGAUUGUCAGCUGGAGAAAUAAAAACUGCCAGAACGCAAACGGGGUGAUGCAGUUUAUAUGUCGGCCAGACGGACGAGGUUGAUUAGCAUCAGGAGUCAAUCGGUGACGGCCUGGAUAUAGACCUCUUGUCACUGAGGGCCGGGCCGGUUAGGUUCCUGUCAGCGACGAGCCAGUAGGAUGGGAUCGCGUGGGCGGGCGGCUCCUUGACGCCUCGACGGCGUUCUAUCUUUCUCUGUGGAGGUGACUGCUCGCGAGGUCUAGCAUCGAAGGAUCCCUGCUCGCCGGUGGUUGGGAAGACAUCGCUGGCCGCGACCAUCCGAUGACCUUCUCCAUCCUCGGCGUCACGGCCUCGCGGGAGAUGUCGCCGCCGGCCAUCUACGGAAGGGACGUGUAUUACAAUGGUAUUUGGGAUUUAUUUCAAUCGGAAAAGAGACGCGUGAGAAGAGAAGGAAGCAGAACCGUGCGAUGCAUAAAAGAGGGCGCGGCGCACGGAUGGGCGCACAGACGCGGGCGCAGGCAAGCCCCGUCCAUCUCGUUCCCCUGCUACCUCCUGAUGCGCCGCCGCCGCCUGUUGCUCCGGCUGCCGCCGGUCGCCGGCCUAGCUCCCUCAAGGUCUCCUCCCUCGAAUCCCCGCCGCCACGACACGGUUCUGCCUGCGUGCGCUCCCCCAUGGAUAACCCUGGUGAUUCCACCCACCUCGCCCGAUUUUCUAAUUUGAUUCGCGCCUGGGAUGCAUCCUCGCCGGAGCCGGCUUCAUCCUCGUUCGUUGCGGGGUGCGUCCUCGUCCGUGGGCGUCGCCCACAUCCUCGUGGCGCCAACGACAUACCCGCGGCCUCGGUUACAUCCCCACGGCGUUGUGCACAUUCUCGCGGCCUCAGGCUUCUCCUGCUACAUUGUCGACUCCCCCGGCCAUAUAAUCAAGUUUCGCGACUAAAUCGUCGAGGAUUCGGUUACUCCCCAGCGCCAUCGAGAUCCCAAUCGCCCAGGCUAGUACUUUUCCCCCUACAUCGACCAGAAUCUGAUCUUUUAGUGCCUGCGCAUGUUACAUUUUUCCGAGAAGAAGUGGUGGUAAGUGGAACUAGUUCUGUCGGAUCAUCUGUAGGAUGGAAGCAUUAGUAGAGGGUGUAUUUUUUCUACCAGAGGUAGGUAGAUUUUUUUUAGAAGUAACACAUCAUUUUGGAAUAAUACAUGCAGAAAGAGAAGAUGGAACUUGUUAUUUCUUGAGAUUUAUGUUAGUUAGUAGCCUUGGUGUACAUGAAAAAUGUUGAUGGAAAUGUUCCAUCUUCUGGCUCUGCAUGUUAGAUGGAGUGUAUGUAUGUGGAAGUAGUUUCAUCGGAUCAUAUGUGGGAUGGAAGCAGUCAGUUGAGGGGGCUUUUUUUGUUACAGAUGGAGGUAGAUUAUUUUCGGAAGUAACACAUGUUUGCUGGAAGAAUACAUGCAGAAGCAGUAGAUAGAACUUGUUACUUUUUUAGGCCAGAAUUUGAGUUUUUUACAUCUGUCAAACUGCAGAUAGAGAUGUUCCAUCUACUGCUGGGUGUGUCUGUCUUGUUGGGUUUUACCAGGAAUGUUUACAUGCAAAAACAUAUAAACUUUUUUAGAAGAUUAUUUAUAUAGUAGGAAGUGAAGUUCUCUGGUGGAACUAAAAUACAUGGUACAAUUAGUACCUCUAAUUAGAUGGUAAAUGUACCAGUUGUAGGCAUAUGGACAUCAUGUGUGUGUUCCGCCGCCCCUGUUCCUUCCGGCCGGCCCUUUUCCUCGCCGACCUGUAGCGCCGUCUCCGCCUCUUGGGCGCUCACCUCCUCCCCCAUUCCUUCUGGCCGCCCCCCUUCCUUGCCGACCUGUAGCGCCGUCUUCGCCUCUUGGGCACCCACCUCGGGCACGGAGGAGGCGCCGCCCGUGAGUGAGAGCACCUCGCGGCCGCGGGCUGCACACACCGACCAUGGAGGAUGCCCCGUCCCUGUCGCCAGUAGCAUCCCUCGCUGCCUGGAUUCAUCGCGGUGAUGCCGGUCUCAUGUCCGCGUCUCCGGCGACGGCGUCGUUGUUUCCUGCUGGCCGGCAGCGUCCUUGUGGUCACGUCUACAUCCUCCUCGUUCACCGUCACAUCCUUGUUAUCACCGCCAACAUCACUAGUCUCCGGACACAAGACCUCCUUCACUGCUUCAUCCUUGCUUCUGCUAGAUACUCCUGAGGGUAAGGACUCUUCUGGGUGCUCACCAUAUUUUCUAAUCAACUUGUCUUGAUAUGUAUUUGACCUACACCAACACAUAACACUCUAGGCUGUGGCCUGAAUUUCAGUGAGAAACUUGGUUGAAGAUUAUGAUCACCAGAAAACAAAGCUUGGCUCACCUCACGCGGUGGAGGAGACACUGGAGGUUAUCUCGGUUGCAGCCCAGGAUGUGACCUUGUUAGUUAGGAGAAUGAGUAGCUCCAUGGCAAACUAGGAGCAGAAACGGUUGAAUUCAGCGCCUUGAAAUCUGGAGAAGUCCCAGGUUUCUGGCAAGGUCGGCAAGACGUCAGCUAGCUCACGGCAAGACGGCGGGGUUCUGGCAAGGUUGGCAAGACAUCGGAGAACACAUAGCAAGAUGACGGUGAACUCACGGCAAGACGGUGGGGUUCCAGCAAGGUCGGCAAAACUGGCGACGUACACCGGUGAGACCGGUAGUAUUCCGGCGAGUUACAUUUAACCCGUAAAGAAUAAUCUACCUAGUUCUUCUUCACCCAAGUCGUGAUACAUUGGCAUGUAUUUUUUUUCGACCGCUCUGGCUAAAGCACGGACAUGUAACUACUCUAGCAUCCUACUGGAUGUAACUCUAACUCUUGUUUGGAUGUAACAAAGUAGUUGCAUCAGAUCAGGCUAGAACUUUUUUGCAACAAUGUAACAGGUGGUACAGGAGCUCCACCGAUGUGUCUCCCAUCCGCAAUUCUUUCUGGAAACAAUAAUUUUUUUGAUGUA